GUGGCUAUAGUAUAGUGGUCAGUACGUAUCGUUGUGGAAUUGGUUUCGACCAUUCGCAACAAUUACCGAUGAGACGCCGGUUCGAUUCCGGCUAGCCACA
rfam:Malassezia pachydermatis strain CBS 1879 scaffold2, whole genome shotgun sequence.